ACACGGACGAGAUUGUUGACACCGGCUGUAAGGACUUGUCUCCUAAAAUCCCGGUCUUUGAGAUGGCCAUAGCAGAAAGUGUCAACGAAAUGGACCAGGAGGUUUCACCCGCCACCACCACUGCAGGGACGGCAGCAAGGAAGAUUGCAUGGGACACGACGGAGACGACGGAGGAGAAGAAGACACCGUGGUGGCGCCGGUUUUGUCAUGUUUCC